CGCCCAGGCCACGCCCCUGACACAGUCACGCCCAUAAACCCGCCCUUUCUCCGCCUCCCGCACGCAAGAUCCCCACCCCUUAUUCUCAAAACCCCGCCCUACUUUCCGGCUAAGGCGGUGAGUUGUCCCUGGUCCUGCCCCCUCUCCUGGCCCCUCCUACUUCCUUGCGGCCAGCUUCGGCCAACUUCGAACGCCCACCGCGGCCUCGCUGCAACCUGUCGCGUGAUGCCCUUCCCACAUCUUCCUUGGCCUCCUGACCUUCCCUGCUGCACUUGUUCCCCCACCGGGAGCCCCCCCUUCUCCAGCCCCACCCCGCCCACGACCUCCCUCCAGUAGAGUCACGCCUCUGAGCCUCCCCCUCUACGCCGCACUGAUUUUGCGCUUUGUCACCGCCCUGUGCAUCCCCUCCUGUUUCCCUUCUGUCUCCACCACACCAGCUUAUUUCUUCCUGAACCUUCCACCUAGGUUCUGCUGAGAACUUGCUUCCCAGAACUCUGCAAAAAGUGGUUACUUCUGGGGGCCGCUGUGCAGGAUGGGACGCCUCAGUUCCCUUGGCUGUACACCGGGGGAGGGGCCUGGGAAGUUGUUCCCUGACUUCUUAGCGCCUGUGCUGAGGAGGGAAGCCACACCACUGCCUACACAUCCCCACUGGCAGGCCAGGCUCUUGCCUGAAAUCCUUGCUGCUCCAACAAAGUAGUCACCAUCAGGGCUCCCCUACCCUGGGAAGCCUUCUGAGGAGUUUGGCCAAAGACUGUGUCUUUAGCGACUUCCCAAUCCCUUGUCCUGGACCCUGCACAGCUGCCUCCAAAGGAUCAAUGUCAAAUCAACUCAUCCCAAUUUCCCUGACCUCCAUCCCAGGACAGGUGCCAGAAUGUAUUUGCUGAAUAAACAGGCGGAUGUUAAUUGGAUUUUCUCAUUAGUAAUACUCAUUGUCCGCAUGGGGACUCCUCCCAGCGGCAGGUAGAGGAUGUCUUACACUGGACGAGCAUGCCACAGCUUCCCCGCUUUUCUUAAUAUGGACUAAGUGAUCAGCACCCAGACCAAGACACAGUUGAGAAGCAGGUUGAGUACGUGUGUGGUCAGGUCAUGUCUUUCAAGUGGAGAGCAAGCUGGCUGGAUGGUGCACACCUAUUGAUCCAAGCUGUCAGGCUGGGAGGGCCGUGGACCAGUGAGAUAGCUCGUCGGAUUAAUGAGCCUGCCACCGAGCCUGACCGUCUGAGUUCAAUACUCCAGAUCUACUUGAUGGAGGGAGAGAACCAGCUCUGACUAGUUUUCCUCUGACCUCCACAUGUGUGUUGUGGUAUACAUGCCCACACACAUGAACAUAUGCAAACAAAAGGAUUGGCUGGACUGUCAGCAUGGGCCUGUAAGACUAAAAAAAGCUGCCAGAAAGACUUGAUAAUGAUAAAUGCCUUGUUAGUCCUGUGGGGCUCGGCUGGAUCCUAACCCCCUAUAGAGCCAUAGAUAAUAAGUGUGUCUUCUUAGUUGUGUUUAAUAUUAAUUCGUUGUGGCAGAAAAAAAAACUUAAGCUAUAAAUAACCCGGAUUCGCCUUUGUCUGGCCAGUCUGCUGGUUUUCUAUAGUUCUGCUCUUCCAGAACACACGGAAGGGAACCCAGUGGCUCCCAACUGCAGCACUUCAUUCCAUGAAGUUCCUCAGGCCCUGGAACAGUGAAGCCAAGUUUAGCACAACUGGAAACCAACUACGAGUCAUUCUCUUUAAUGGGUCAGUUGCUUGAUUUUUCAUGUUACGGCCUGCCUAGUACGAGCAGGUGGUGUCUGUGGGUCCAUUUUUAGCUUUACCUAUUUGGGGAUAACCUUACUCUAAGAGCUAGUCAGGACGAAUGCCCGUGGACUCCUUACCUCGUGCUUUAAGUGACCGGAAGCCUAGAGACCUGCUAGAGAAGAUGCUAGUUCAUUAGAGUCCCAUGCCACCAGCUGUCUCCAUCAGCUGUGUCUACUGCCUAUCCAGUGCAGUGAGAGACUGGAUAGUCCCCACUGCCCCUAACCUUACUGUCCUGUCGGUCUAUGAUUGGAUCUCCAAUGGGAAACAGACGGCAAUCAGUCAAUGCUCAGGGUAGGCAGAUUACAACCAUCCCACCAAGGAACAAGUUCAAGGGUUCUUCUGUCCUCCCCUGAAAACCUGCUAAAGGCAACAGCUUGCUGGGCGGUGGCAGUGCACACUUGCAGCUUCCUGGCCUGAUGUUCUUAUGGCCCAGGGUUCUCCCACUUGCUCAGAACCUGUUCCUUGCUUUUGAACCUGAUCCUCAUGCCUUCAUCUCCUGGUGCUGAGAUCACAGGUGUACACUACCACACAGGGCUCCCCAGCCUCUGUUUCACCUGGGAAGUUAAAUGCAGCCAUCCCCAGGACUAGACUGCAAGGGCGCUUGUUAUGGAAUAUUAUUUUAACUAGGCAAAGAUGUAUUACAUUAGUUUAUGCUGCAGAAUAUUGCUUUAACUGUGUAAAGGCGUGUUACUUUUUUAUGCUUCAUUUGUGUAAUGAUGUAAAGAUGUGUGUUCAGUUAUGUAAAGAAAAGUUGCACCUGUUUCAUCUUGCAUGCCUAAGACACCUGAUUGGUCUGAUAAAAAGCUGAAUGGCCAAUAGCUAAGCUGAGAAAGGAUAGGUGGAGCUAGCAGGCAGAGAGAAUGAAUAGGAGAAUAAAUCUAGGCUCAGAAAGGAAGGAAGGAACUAGAGAGGAGGAGGAGAGAUGCCGCCAUAGAGAAGCCGUGAAAGAAAGAUCUACAGAAGAAAGGUAAUAAGCCCCCGUGGGGCAAACGGUAGAUAAACAUAAACAGGACAAUAUAAAGUUAAAAGAGCUAACCAGAAGCAUGCCUAGGCCAGGCCAAGCACUCAAAACUGGUAACAAGUCUCUGUGUCAUGACUGAUUGGUGACCCAAAUGAAAAAGCCUGGUACAGGCCCCUCCUUUUGUCAUCCUGCUGCAAGUGAAACGGCCCACUGUUAAGUUCCUCUUAACUCCCUUCUCUCUUCUGCCCUUUUUCUAAUGUCAUGAAAUAAAGGCAUUUUGUGUA